rnacentral:rRNA from 1 species
UACAGAGGGUGCAAGCGUUGUUCGGAUUUACUGGGCGUAAAGAGCGUGUAGGCGGCCAAGCAGGUCCGUUGUGAAAACUGGAGGCUUAACCUCCAGACGUCGACGGAAACCGCGCGGCUAGAGUCCGGAAGAGGAGAGUGGAAUUCCUGGUGUAGCGGUGAAAUGCGCAGAUAUCAGGAAGAACACCAAUGGCGAAGGCAGCUCUCUGGGACGGUACUGACGCUGAGACGCGAAAGCGUGGGGAGCGAACAGG